rnacentral:misc_RNA from 1 species
CGAGAAGUCAAAUUUCCAUAUCAAAGCAAUAAGCAUGAAACCCAACACAAUACGAAUGGUAAUAGAGACUGCGUAGAUUGUGUAGUUCUUCAUCCUCUGGAAGAUGCAUCUGCUGGUCAGAACUGCGCUGAUAAUGACACUGAGCCCAGGUUCAGUGAGCACAAUGUCGGAGGCACCUCUAGCGGCAUCUGUAGCAUCGGCAACAGCAAUUCCAAUAUCGGCCUUUUUCAGAGCAGGGGCAUCGUUCACACCAUCUCCAGUCAUACCACAUAUGUGCUUCUUCUCUUGCAGCUUUUUCACAAUUUCAUAUUUAUGUUCUGGG